UACGUAGGGUGCGAGCGUUGCCCGGAUUUAUUGGGCGUAAAGGGCGCGUAGGCGGCCACGCACGUCCGUUGUGAAAUCGCCCGGCUCAACUGGGCGGGGUCAGCGGAUACGGUGUGGCUCGAGCAAGCUAGGGGGCAAUGGAAUUCCCGGUGUAGUGGUGGAAUGCGUAGAUAUUGGGAAGAACACCGAUGGCGAAGGCAGCCAUCUGGACCGACACUGACGCUGAGGCGCGAAAGCGUGGGGAGCAAACAGG
rnacentral:rRNA from 1 species